AGAAGCGUUUACAAAUUAUUCAAUUUUAUUAUCAAAAUAAUCUUUCUCAAAAUUUUGCUGACUGAAGACCGUAAUUUGUGGAUUCCAAGGCGGUAUCAAAAUUUGGGAAAUGUCGUAAAUUUGCUAAUUUUGCCUUGGAACAAUUUGAAAACGAUACGGAUUUUUUAAAGAAAAUCMUUUUCGCCGAUGAGGCUUACUUUCAUAUGGUACUAGAACGUUUUAUAGGAGCCGAGGUCAAAAAUGGACGAUGGGUGUGGCACUGCCCAUAUUUCGGUUAAAAACAAUCUCAGGAUCCAGUACGAUCUAUAUCGACCGAACUUGGUAUAUAGUAUUAUCUUGACAUUCCUAUGUUCUAGUGCGAAAAAACUACUACGGACCACAACCACGUCUACUUCCCAUAUAAUCAAAAUUUAAGUUCCUCGGACAUGCAUUUCCCAGAAUGCAAUUUGAGCUUAAAGAUGACCACCAAAAAUUGUUAAAAUCCGACUUAAAUAAUUCAAGUCCCCAGUUACUGAAUAUCUGGAUCAAACUUUCAAUUGCGAACAUUUUAUCGAAAAUAUCAGUCAAUCUGAAAUUCCAGUUCACUUUACGCCGCAUAUAUCAGGCAAAUAUGUUGGUAAUUUUAAUAGAAUUGAGAGAGUUUUUUUUAAUAACGGUGCUUCUUUGUGCCUAAAAUGGAUAAAAUCGGGUGAAAACUUGUUUAAGACCCCAUAUAACUUACAAACCUUGUCAAAAUUGUUCUUUUAAUAAAAAUUCUUACUUAUUUUAUUCGCGAACGCAACAAUAAGCCUUACCGACAAAUGGUUUUGGAUUAUACAUAGGCCACGGUAUUCAAAGGAGAGCUGCCGAAAAAAAAAAUACAUUUUUUGGUGUUAUGAUUGAUGCAAUGAUUUUAGUCCGUGGAAGAAGCGCUACUUUAAAAACUGCAGCUACAAUAAAAUUAAAAUAGAGUCGGAAAACAAAGUUUUAGAAUAAUCUGAGUUAUGGUAUGGUCAGCAAGAAAAAAUUAAAAAUAAAGUAAAAAUUUAAUUUAA